ACUAGAUUGCUAGUUCGAAUAUUCAGUUCAAUUCGCACUACGAGUAUAUUAUACAAGUUGUUAUUUGUUCCCAUAUCGUAAUGAAAACGAAGCCAAUAGUUUGCUGUUGUUCUCUCAAGGUAAAUUAAGGUAAACGACAAUUGCGAUUGUGAGUGCAGCAGCAGCAGCACGAGAACUAAAUACUUGUGGAAAUGAUCUGAUAUGAUGCACACCAUUAUAUUUACCAGAUGAACGCGCAAAAUUUGUAAUCGAAAAGAUUCUAGCUACGCAUAUAAAGAUACACUUACAUUUUCAACUUUUGCACAGAACCAAGAUUGAUUUAUUUUCAUAAGGUGAUUGGGACAUCAAGAGAAGACCAAAUAUAAGAUCCAAAAUCCAAAGAAUUCAACAGUUCCAUAAAUAAGCGUGUACAGUAUAUGUAAUGAACUCAUUAAGUCUAUUUAUGAUUCCAGAUCUUACAAUUUUAAAGAUUUUCAUCAUGUUGAGGGAAUAUUUAUGAAAGUACCAGAUGAAGCUUCAUCGAAAACUUUAAUUUUCAAUUUUGAGACGAUCAGAAAUUUAAAUGUGAUAUGUAGUGCAAUUUCUCAAAAUUCAACAAUUCGAGUUUUCAAUUGUUCACAUCCCUACAUCGAGAAUUCUAUAGCGGUUUCAGGAAAGCAUCUAAACACCCUAAAAGAACUCUUACAAAAUGCCUUUGCUAAACUAGUACUUUUGACUGGGUGUCAACCAAUACAAAACCGAAUUAGUCCUAUUUUCUAGGAAAUACUAAAUUCCAUGUGUUAACCCUCCUUAUAUUAUAGGAAUCCAAUUAAUCCAAUUCUCAGACGAGGCUAAGUAACUGAAUCUUAUUUUAGACAAAAAACUAAUUUAAAAACGCAAUAUACAAGAAAGAGUCAAAAAGGCUAUUGGUAAUCAAUGGGGCUUAUAACCCUGAAUUACGCAUUGGUUAUAAACGGUAAUAGGACGGAUUUCAAUGUAUGGUGUGGCAGUAUCGUGGAUUGCUUUAGAAAAAGCUAAAAAUAUCCACAAUUAAACAACGGACUCUUCGCAUGACCCCAUCUCUACCUAACACCUCUUGAUAUACUUAGCAAACAAAUAGCUUCAAGUUCCAUAUUCGCCCAAAGCUUAAUCGCCGUGGGUUUACAACAACGUUGGCUACUCCGUAAUUCUUAAAUAUUUAGGAUCUAUUUUAAAGCACACAGGCGACACCUCCAACUGAAAUUCGACAGAAACUUCCAGAUUUCCAUUCUUUCCAGAUCUUUCUGGGUAUGUGCAGAUAAGUGAAAUGACAUCACUAUGUGACAGAUCACAAAAAACAAGAGGCUUGAUAUCUCUUUAUCCAUAAGCUCGAUAAUCGGUGUUGUAACCGGGCGCUAUGUAACGCGACUAGUCGUAUUCUCAAACGACUUUUGUAGAAGCUGUUUGGAUGAGGAAGGGAGGAAACAGUUCUUGACCUUCUCUGUACUUUUUUGCAAACUGUGACUUUUUGAGGAUGCAUUAUGAUGAACCUCGCGUUGGUGGUGUCAUAAUAAAGUUUUAUCAUUUAAACGUGCUAUUCAAUCGUGUUACUUGAAUAACAAAUAAAAGAUUUGACAGGUGUCACCAAAAAAAAAACGCUCCACGGGGCUCCAAAAUCAACACGCACCAAAAAAAACCUAUGCAUAUAUCGAUAUAAACUAUCUCAAUCAUAUUAACAUAAUCAGUUUUUUACGUUUUGUAAGGAACUCAAACCGGUGUCAUUAAGCUAAGAAGAAAGCCUCAAGAUUUAUGUGGUAUCACAUAAGUCCUACAAACUGGCCUAAGUGUAUCCUACUACAUCACGACAGCCACAGGAUUUCCGUGGCAUACCUUUGUGACAAAUUAAACUUGGUUCAAAUCGAUGGAUUUUCUCCAGAAGGAUUUUGUAUUUCUCAAAGAAGUAUAGAACAUUUUUAAAGCAAAGGCACCACGAAUAUGAAUUAUGUACAUACAAACAGACUUUAGAGAUUUUUCUUUCUGCUUCUUCUCCGACAAGAAAACGAUGUCAAAAAUUCUGAUGGAAUUCUGUCACACUGUGGCCAACCAUUAAAUUUUCUACAAAGGACCUUUCGGGCUGGUUCCGCUUUGCUCAUGCGAGCACAGUAAAAAAAUUUUAAAUUUUUUGAUCUGUCAAUUUGAUCGUUCUUAUGUUCCAUUUUAAUUUACAUAUAUGUACAUAUG